AUACUGCUGAGGAGUUCCACAAUAGGACGAAACAACCGUCCAAUGU
rnacentral:hammerhead_ribozyme from 1 species